GAUGAACGCUAGCGGCAGGCCUAACACAUGCAAGUCGAGGGGUAACGUGAGUGCUUGCACUUGACGACGACCGGCGCACGGGUGCGGAACGCGUAUGGAACCUACCUUUAUCAGGGAGAUAGCCCAUGGAAACGUGGAUUAAUAUCCCAUAGUAUUAUUUUAUCGCCUGAUAGAAUAAUUAAAGAAUUUCGGAUAGAGAUGGCCAUGCGUAUCAUUAGCUAGUAGGCGAGGUAACGGCUCACCUAGGCGACGAUGAUUAGGGGUCCUGAGAGGGAGAUCCCCCACACUGGUACUGAGACACGGACCAGACUCCUACGGGAGGCAGCAGUGAGGAAUAUUGGGCAAUGGAGGCAACUCUGACCCAGCCAUGCCGCGUGCAGGAAGACGGCCCUACGGGUUGUAAACUGCUUUUAUACAGGAAGAACACCACCCACGUGUGGGUGACUGACGGUACUGUAAGAAUAAGGACCGGCUAACUCCGUGCCAGCAGA
rnacentral:rRNA from 1 species